rnacentral:rRNA from 1 species
GGCAGUCGAGCGAUGAAUUAAGAGCUUGCUCUUAUGAAGUUAGCGGCGGACGGGUGAGUAACACGUGGGUAACCUGCCCAUAAGACUGGGAUAACUCCGGGAAACCGGGGCUAAUACCGGAUAACAUUUUGAACUGCAUGGUUCGAAAUUGAAAGGCGGCUUCGGCUGUCACUUAUGGAUGGACCCGCGUCGCAUUAGCUAGUUGGUGAGGUAACGGCUCACCAAGGCAACGAUGCGUAGCCGACCUGAGAGGGUGAUCGGCCACACUGGGACUGAGACACGGCCCAGACUCCUACGGGAGGCAGCAGUAGGGAAUCUUCCGCAAUGGACGAAAGUCUGACGGAGCAACGCCGCGUGAGUGAUGAAGGCUUUCGGGUCGUAAAACUCUGUUGUUAGGGAAGAAACAAGUGCUAGUUGAAUAAGCUGGCACCUUGACGGUACCUAACCAGAAAGCCACGGCUAACUACGUGCCAGCAGCCGCGGUAAUACGUAGGUGGCAAGCGUUAUCCGGAAUUAUUGGCGUAAAGCGCGCGCAGGUGGUUUCUUAAUCUGAUGGUGAAAGCCCCGGGCUCAACCGUGGAGGGGCAUUGGAAACUGGGGAUACUUGACUGCAGAAGAGGAAAGUAGAAUUCCAUGUGGUAGCGGUUAAAUGGCU